rnacentral:rRNA from 1 species
CCCUUAGAUGUUCUGGGCCGCACGCGCGCUACAAUGAUGAAUUCAACGAGUUUAUAACCUUGGUUGAAAAGCCUGGGUAAUCUUUUGAACUUUCGUCGUGAUGGGGCUAGACCCUUGCAAUUAUUGAUCUUGAACGAGGAAUUCCUAGUAAACGCGAGUCAUCAGCUCGUAUUGAUUACGUCCCUGCCCUUUGUACACACCGCCCGUCGCACCUACCGAUUGAAUGUUUCGGUGAAGAUUCCGGACCGUGGCGAGCGCGCUUCACGGCGCUCUUGCCGUGGGAAGUUAUCUAAACCUCAACAUUUAGAGGAAGGUGAAGUCGUAACA